CAGACUUGGCAGUGUGGGAACAAGAGAGACACAGCACAUGCUGUCCCUUCUCUCCUGAAGCCAGCAGUCUUGGAGGGACACGACCCAGUCCACAGGCAUUCAAGUUCAGGAAAGGCACAUUGGAGGGUACUUAGCACAAGCUGGGAGGUUGGGAUGGUUUGAAGGUCAAAGUACAAGGGCCAGGUGAGUGUUACACAACUGAAAAGAAGGAGAACAAGUAUGAUCUGAGGCAAAGGAAGGAGCCAUGCAUCAGCUGAGAAGAGCAGAAGUGUGACAUGAUCAGGGAAUAACAAAAUGGCUCAGCAUGGAGGGUGGAUUCAGUCAGCUUUCACCACUGUAGAGCAACAAGUUUACAGAAUGGGUGUACCAGUCAGCCCCUGUGAUAUCCAGGUUCUAUACCAGUUUGGUAAAUGGCAAGAGAAGAAACUGAAAAGCCCAAAGGAAGCUCAUCUAUCAGAUUAAACGGAGGCUUCACCGGAUUUGUGGCAAAUAAAUUGACAAGCGAGGGCACAGAUGACAAGAGAGCGAUAAUUGAUGGAGCCAAGUGGGGGCCUGGUGCACUGGCAGGUCCUGUGGAGGGUGAGCCAAGGACAUCUAUCAAUCAAAUUGGUGACAGCAGCCAGCGAGACUUAAUUGAAGGUGCAUUGAACCUUUAAUGAUGUGACAGGGAAAAAUAAGGAUGCUUAAAAGUGUCCUCAGCUUUCUUUUUCUUUGUUCCAACAAUUCUAGUAGGAAGAGUGGAAAGUGGACAUCACUCCAGGGUUGAACAUUCGUUGUUCCCAUCAAAGUUAAUCACAUUGUUUGGAGAGGUGGAGUAGCAAAAGUAUUUACCAUUAGCCCAGUGUGGGAUGAAAUCUAAACCUGCAGAGAGAGAGACCUGACUGUCUUGUGUUCCAUGUAAGUGGGGAUGCUUAGCAAGGGCUUGGGUACCAACUGCAUAACCCUGAGUUAAGCUGGGGUGCACAGAUCCUCUACCCAAAUGUAGGUUCCCAGUGCAGUCAGGUAGGAAGUCUUUCCUCUCAUUCAGUGAUGUCCCCCAGCAUUCCUUUAUAAACUACACUGUGUAUUAUACAAAUGUAGAUAUUUUUCAAUUUAUCAUUGUAAUUUCUUUGCUGGAGGCUCAAAAUAAUUUUAUUUCCAAUUUGGGAAAGUAGAGAGCCCAGAGAUAUUUGGGCCGUACAGCCCAUCAUGCUCAGAGGACUUUGUUUAAUGUUAGUGGUGCAGGA
rnacentral:lncRNA from 1 species